rnacentral:rRNA from 1 species
GCUUACACAUGCAAGUGGAGCGACCAACCACGGCUUGCCCUGGGGCACAACUUUUCCGGGGUGAGUAACACGUGGGUCACCUGCCUCGAUGACCGGGACAACCCGAGGAAACUCGGGCUAAUACCGGAUGUGCCCGCAAGGGGAAAGGAAGCUUCCGCCUCCGCAUCGAGAUGGGCCCGCGGCCCAUUAGCUUGUUGGUGAGGUAACGGCUCACCAAGGCUUCUAUGGGUAGCUGGUCUGAUAGGACGAUCACCCACACUGGGACUGAGACACGGCCCACACUCCUACGGGAGGCAGCAGUGGG